GGCGGCGUGUUGGUUGAUUCGUCAGCUAUAUAUAGUUCUCUGUGACACGGCGAGAGGAGAGAGGGGCAAAUGUGAAAUGGCACCAUUGAAAUAUUUGGAGCAAGAGUAUCCCAUAUUAGACUCGUGUUGGUUGAUCCGUCAGCUAGAUAUAGUUCUCUCUGUGACACGGCGAGACGCCGAGAGGAGAGGGGCAAAUGUGAAAUGGCACCAUUGAAAUAUCUGGAGCAAGAGUAUCCCAUAUUAGACUCCAACUUCCGGAACUUCUGUGCUACUCACGGCAUUUUCUCAGAGGAGGAUUUACUCUUGCAUGACCUCCAUGUAUUGGUUGCUUUUGCAGAGCAACAAUCGACAUCUGAGAGAUUAAAGCAGGGCAUUACCCAAGUCCUCUCUAUCAUUGAUGGUCAGCAUCAGCCGUGGUUGAAUGGUAUGGAGCUGUUGGAAGAUGCUCAACUGAAUAAACAUGUGUUAUCCACUGGUUGUGAGGGGAUUGAUCUUUUACUUCAAGGUGGAUUACGCAUGGGACAGUUAACUGAACUUGUUGGGGCUUCAUCGUCUGGUAAAACACAGGUUUGCCUUCUAGCCACCUCUAAUGUUGCAAAAAAGCAUAUGGACGGUGUUGUAUACUUAGAUACGGGCAACUCCUUUUCGCCACAACGUGUUAUAGACUUUAUUCGUCAGAAUCCUGACCCUGCCAUUGAUCAGGCUAAACACAGAAUUCUGCAGAAGGUAAUGAAUAGAAUAUUAUGCCACUCAGUAUUUGACAUCUUUACAAUGUUUGAUGUGCUACAUCAGCUAGAAGUCAAUCUGAGAUCUCAGAUGCAGAAAGGAGAUUGUCAGGUGCGGCUGCUUAUAGUUGAUUCGAUAUCAUCACUGGUUACACCAAUCCUUGGAGGAGGUGGUUCUCAGGGACAUGCAUUAAUGACUUCUGCUGGAUUUCUGCUGAAGAAAUUAGCACAUGAGCAUAAUCUUGUCGUAUUGGUGACAAAUCACACUGUGGGUGGAGAGGGAGGUAUCUCUAAACCAGCUCUUGGAGAGAGUUGGAAGAGCAUCCCACAUGUUAGGCUUCGGCUUUCCCAUGACCAAGGAAGCAGCAUCUACAAUGUUUCUGUACUUAAACACCCAUCCAUGGCUUCUGGUAAGGCUGCAAGGUUUACGAUUUAUGACUAGUGACGUGGAUUAUAUUUGAAUUGGCCAAUUCCCGGGUGAAAUAUCUGGGGUGACAGAGAGUCAUACAAGGAAGAUACUCUUAAUAAACUCAAAUUGCAGAAACGCAGCUGUUUUGUAAUAUCAUCAAGAACUAGCAAUUUUAAGCUGCAAGGCAUUAUCCAAACCUCCACUUGGAACGACCAAAUCAAGUUAGCUGAACUUUGGACAACUUCCAUAGGUCGUAUCACAUGUUGCCACUCUUAUAUGUAAUAUAGUCUUAUCAGGUUUUUGUCUAGAAAGGGUAGUUUGGAUGAAGCAUUGAGUUUGCUUGAGGAUAUGAUGCAGAAAGGAAAACAUCCAAAUGUGGUGACAUCCGUUGUUGAUGGAAGGUUUGUGCUCUGUCGGAGAGUAUACAGAAGAAAAAAAAGAUGAUGUUUGAUACGAGUAUCGAGGGUGUAAGCUGCAACUGGUGAAUUAUGGUGUUUUGAUGAGUGACCUUGGAAAGAGAGGAAAGAUUGAGGAGGCAAAAUCUCUACUUCACGAGAGAAAGAAAAGGGGGUUAAAGCCCAAUGUUGUGACGUAUAAUAUAUUGUUAAAUUACAUCAUGUGCAAGGGAGGUAGAGUGAGUCUGACUGAGGCUUAUAAAGUUUGGAUUGAAAUGCGGCUUGGAUGUUGUAAGCUGAAUGCAGGUACAUACCGGAGGAUGGCUGACGGAUUUUGCAGGGCUGGGGAUUUUGAAGGAGGUUUGAGGGUAUUGAAUGCGAUGUUGGCAUGUAGGCAUGCAUUAUCCACGUUCAGAAACAUUUAAAUGUUAGUGGGACUGUUGAGUUUUGGGAAGAUAGAUAAUGCCUCCUUUGUUUUGGAGGAGAUGGAGGAGAUGAUUCGUUUUGAUUUGGAGGAUUGGGAAGCGUUAAUCAGGGCCGCUUGUAGUGGAGAUAGAAGUUCCUGUGGGCUAACUGAACUGGUUACUGUUAAAAAAUGUGUAAGUACAUUUAUAACUUUCAUCUCAUCUUAUCUUAUCUCAUAUUAUCAUUACAAUUUUUUCAAA